AGCGAACGCUAGCGGCGGGCCUAACACAUGCAAGUCGAGCGGAGAACUUCGGUUCUUAGCGGCGGACGGGUGAGUAACGCGUAGGUAAUGUGCCUUCUGGUGGGGAACAACCGUGCGAAAGCAUGGCUAAUACCGCAUAUGUCGAGAGAUGAAAGCCUUCGGGCGCCAGUAGAGCAGCCUGCGUCCCAUUAUUUAGUCCUAGUUGGUGAGGUAACGGCUCACCAAGGGUACGAUGGGUAGCUGGUCUGAGAGGAUGAUCAGCCACACUGGAACUGAGACACGGUCCAGACUCCUACGGGAGGCAGCAGUGGGGAAUAUUGCGCAAUGGGCGAAAGCCUGACGCAGCCACGCCGCGUGAGUGAUGAAGGCCUCGGUUGUAAG
rnacentral:rRNA from 1 species